CAGUAUCUUGCGGUGACACCUAUUUAUGCCUGUGGUACCAUUUACAUUCCUGAUUUCCGUGGUUACUGCAUCUUGUGUGUUAAUAUCUGAAGAUUUGGAGAUUGGAAUAGCAGAAGAAAGAGAACAUGAGUUAUUACAUCAAAAUGUGAGCCAUCAGCUGUCCUCGCCAACUGUCUUUGUUCCACCAUCAAGAACUAUGACCUUCUGAAACUAAGGCACUCUUCAGGGCUACAGAAAGAGAAACCAGGACACUAACCCACCCUGAAACGUUGAACCUACAAUCUGUCCUGCUUGCCAGAUGUGCUGGGGCAAUGCUUGUACAGAACUUGUGAGAGUGGUCAACCAAAGUCUGGAUUAACUUGAGUCCCAAGACAUGAGAAGAAGCCCAUGCCAUACACUGGCUGAAUGGUGAGGAACCAGAACCUGGAGUAGAACCACACACAAUUAGGGGAGUCUAACUUGGAGGUCUCCAUCCAGGUGACUGGAGAAAAAAAUUCCUGUUUCCCCUGGGUUGCUCUUUGUUGAUGUGAUAAGAAGCCACUUUAGAUAUGGAUGAAAAUUCAUGGAACAUCUUGCAAGAAAUGCCAACAAAAUCUAGUUGAUUAGAAAUUCAAUGACUGUGGAGAGGUUAUAAAGCUGACUCUAUUAUAAAUUAUCAUGGGUACCUUAACCUUCCCAUUUGCAAGAAACUGCCGACUUUUGUGCA